rnacentral:tRNA from 1 species
CUCGAGGUAGUCUAGUGGCUAGGACUCCUGGUUUUCACCCAGCAUGCCCAGGUUCAAUUCCUGAGCUGAGA